GGAAGACAGUGAACUAUGACUGGGCAGGGAGAAGCCAGAGGAAACUCUGGUGGAGGUCCUUAGUGGUGCUGAUACACAAAUUGGUCUUCUGACCUGAGUAUAUGGGGCAAAAGACUAAUGAAACCAUCCAGUAGCU
rnacentral:ncRNA from 1 species